rnacentral:rRNA from 1 species
ACGAACGCUGGCGGCGUGCUUAACACAUGCAAGUCGAACGGAAAGGCCCUGCUUUUGUGGGGUGCUCGAGUGGCGAACGGGUGAGUAACACGUGAGUAACCUGCCCUUGACUUUGGGAUAACUUCAGGAAACUGGGGCUAAUACCGGAUAGGAGCUCCUGCUGCAUGGUGGGGGUUGGAAAGUUUCGGCGGUUGGGGAAGGACUCGCGGCUUAUCAGCUUGUUGGUGGGGUAGUGGCUUACCAAGGCUUUGACAGGUAGCCGGCCUGAGAGGGUGACCGGCCACAUUGGGACUGAGAUACGGCCCAGACUCCUACGGGAGGCAGCAGUGGGGAAUAUUGCACAAUGGGCGGAAGCCUGAUGCAGCAACGCCGCGUGCGGGAUGACGGCCUUCGGGUUGUAAACCGCUUUCGCCUGUGACGAAGCGUGAGUGACGGUAAUGGGUAAAGAAGCACCGGCUAACUACGUG